CUUGGCGGCAAUAGCGCGGUGGUCCCACCUGACCCCAUGCCGAACUCAGAAGUGAAACGCCGUAGCGCCGAUGGUAGUGUGGGGCCUCCCCAUGCGAGAGUAGGACACUGCCAAGC
rnacentral:rRNA from 3 species